ACCCGGUAUUACUGGGCGUAAAGAGUUCUGUAGGCGGUUAUAUAAGUUAGGGGUUAAAGACCGAGGCUCAACCUCGGAAAGGCUCUUAAUACUGUAUAACUAGGAGGAAACUAGGGGAUAGCGGAACGUAUGGUGUAGCAGUGAAAUGCGUUGAUAUCAUACGGAACACCAAGGGGGAAGCCAGCUAUCUGGGGUUUUCCUGACGCUGAGAGACGAAAGCGUGGGGAGCAAAACGGAUUAGAUACCCGUGUAGUCCACGCUGUAAACCAUGUCUGCUAGAUGCUUGUUUUAUUAUAAGUGUCAAAGCUAACGCGUUAAGCAGACCGCCUGGGAAGUACGGUCGCAAGGCUAAAACUCAAAGGAAUUGGCGGGGACCCGCACAAGCGGUGGAGCAUGCUCUUUAAUUGGCUGAUAACCCACGAACCUUACCAGGACUUGACAUGUAGUCGGUAGUGAACCGAAAGGGGAACGACCCGUCGCAAGAUGGGAAGCUACACAGGUGUUGCAUGGCUGUUGUCAGCUCGUACCGUGAGGCGUACCCUUAAGUGGGUUAACGAGCGCAACCCCUACUGCUAGUUGUAUCACUCUAGCGGAACUGCCUCGGCAACGAGGAGGAAGGUGGGGAUGACUUCAAGUCGGUAUUGCCUUUAUGUCCUGGGCCAGAAGCAUGCUACAAUGGCUAGCACAACGAGUUGCAAAGUCGUAAGACGGAGCUAAUCUCUUAAAUCUAGUCUCAGUUCGGAUUGAGGGCUGCAAUUCGCCCUCAUGAAGUCGGAAUCGCUAGUAAUCGCAGGUCAGCUAUACUGCGGUGAAUACGUUCUCGGGUCUUGCACACACUGCCCGUCACGUCAGCAAAGCUGGGGCCACCCGAAGUCUCAAUUUAUUGGGCCCACGGUGGAAUCAGUGAUGAGGAUGAAGUCGUAACAAGGUAGCCGUAGGGGAAUCUGCGGCUG
rnacentral:rRNA from 1 species